AAAACACUACCAUCUCACAAUGCAUGUUCUUGGGCUCCUGACUACUGCCACCUCCUUGGAGGUACUUGAUGGAUUGGUAGAAAGUACAGCAGUCGUGUUUUCUAGUCCAUCAAGUGGGGAAAAUGUUGAAAAACAUUUUCAAAACCUUCAGUUGUGGCUGCAGAGAGCUACCUUACCAGUGGAGGAGUCUGACAAGUCAGAAAAAAGCACUGAAGACUUAAAGGAAACAAUCAAGGGAUCAAACAACUUUGCAACAACAUUACUGCAAAGUUGUAACAACAGCCCCGCUGGACGUCACUGGUGAGCCUCAUGUCUUUUAUUGUGAAGGACUUGUGGCUCACAUGACAACCUACCUUCUACCCUACGCAGCCCUGUGGAGCGGGAUAAUGCUUGGGAACCUUGGACGACAUGGAAAAGGAAAGGCGUACAAAGAAAACACACGCAAACAUGAAGCCCUGAGAAAGCUCACAAGACAGAACAUUACACAGGACAACAACACUCAGGGAAUAAUGGAGAAGAGCCAGUGAGACCUGAAACAUAUACGUUUCAGUCAGUUCCCGCAGGCUCACAAGACUGGACCAUUGUUGUGGUCCAGUACCAGAAGUCCCACAACGCCCUCCUAUUGGAGUUUGAGGACUCCAACAGAGUGCAAAAA